GAGUCACGUCUAGUCGGGCUCUAUUGUGACAGGCAAAGUGCACCACUCCACGUUCAAGCGCUCCACCUAUUGAAAAUUCAUGUCAACUACGGACCGUGUAAAAAUUUUAACGCAUCUCCGCCACAUGGAAAAGUCAAACCAUGUGGAUGAUGAAACGUCGACUGUUCGUCAACCGCAAUACGCAUCAACCUCGUUAUCAUCCUGCAGGACGUUCUUGGCGUUGCGACAGCGCGCGCGUUUCCGCUGGCUAAAUCAGUUACUGCUGCUGUUCGCGUUUCCUGUUCGGAUAUUCCACCUCGAUACGGAUCUGUCGCACUAUUUCGUGCUGCUCCAUUCACGAGAAUGGAUUUCCCCCACUACUUUUAUCCAUUUUCCAUCCAUCGAUGAGUUUGUUGCUCCUUUCCUUCGUCCUUGUUGUCGUGUCAGUGAUUCAAAGAUUUUUUUUAUCGUGUGAAGUAGCAUGACAUCUGAAAAUCUAUCAACGGUGGGUAACAAUGAUCGAAGUUAUACGAAGAGCGGUUAAUUACAAUAAUAGUAGUUGGGAAUAAAUGUAAAUGAAUUAAAUAACUUAAGUAACUAAAGUUAUUUAAAUAACUUUGCUCGAAAUUUUCAAUGAAUUAAUUUUAUUUCGCUUAAUGUCUAACUUUGGAUUUAAUGAUUAUCUUCGAAAUUUUCAAUGAAUUUUCGAGCAUGCAAUUCUUUCGAAUAAAAUUUCAUUGUUAUGAAUAUUUGAGCGAUUUCGUUAAUUUUGCUCUAACUUUUAAAGUAUUUUUCGUGGUCAUUGAAUUUAUAAAUGUAUUAAGUUGUAUCACGUGAUUUUAGAAUAAAUUUUAGAAUAAAUGAUAA